CCUACGGGGGGCAGCAGUGAGGAAUAUUGGUCAAUGGGCGUAAGCCUGAACCAGCCAAGUCGCGUGAGGGAUGAAGGUUCUAUGGAUCGUAAACCUCUUUUAUAAGGGAAUAAAGUGUGGGACGUGUCCUGUUUUGUAUGUACCUUAUGAAUAAGGAUCGGCUAACUCCGUGCCAGCAGCCGCGGUAAUACGGAGGAUCCGAGCGUUAUCCGGAUUUAUUGGGUUUAAAGGGUGCGUAGGCGGGCUUUUAAGUCAGGUGUGAAAGUCUGUGGCUCAACCAUAGAAUUGCAUUUGAAACUGGCAGGCUUGAGUAUGGUUGAGGCAGGCGGAAUGCGUGGUGUAGCGGUGAAAUGCUUAGAUAUCACGCAGAACCCCGAUUGCGAAGGCAGCCUGCCAAGCCAUGACUGACGCUGAUGCACGAAAGCGUGGGGAUCAAACAGGAUUAGAUACCCCGGUAGUC
rnacentral:rRNA from 1 species